GAUGAACGCUGGCGGCGUGCCUAAUACAUGCAAGUCGAGCGAACAGACGAGGAGCUUGCUCCUCUGACGUUAGCGGCGGACGGGUGAGUAACACGUGGAUAACCUACCUAUAAGACUGGGAUAACUUCGGGAAACCGGAGCUAAUACCGGAUAAUAUAUUGAACCGCAUGGUUCAAUAGUGAAAGACGGUUUUGCUGUCACUUGUAGAUGGAUCCGCGCCGCAUUAGCUAGUUGGUAAGGUAACGGCUUACCAAGGCAACGAUGCGUAGCCGACCUGAGAGGGUGAUCGGCCACACUGGAACUGAGACACGGUCCAGACUCCUACGGGAGGCAGCAGUAGGUAAUCUUCCGCAAUGGGCGAAAGCCUGACGGAGCAACGCCGCGUGAGUGAUGAAGGUCUUCGGAUCGUAAAACUCUGUUAUUAGGGAAGAACAAAUGUGUAAGUAACUAUGCACGUCUUGACGGUACCUAAUCAGAAAGCCACGGCUAACUACGUG
rnacentral:rRNA from 1 species